AAAACAAGUGAAUUGUGAUUUGUCCUUGACUGGAUUUUAAAAUGUAAUAUUGAUUUCCAAGAGUUUACUGAUGUUGAUAGUAGUGUGCAGAUAAGUAAUCUUGACAGAUUCCAAGUGCACUUUUCAGAAGCACCCCAUCUUCAAACUGUCCCAAGAGAAGUCUGUCAAACUCAGCCUACACAGGAGCCAGAUCAGCAGGCUGGUCUGAGGCCUCUACUUGAAAUGAAAGUUCCAGAAAUAUUUGAUGAACUCCAAACUAAGGGCAUUGUUACAGAGAAGACCAGAAUGAAACUCAUUAAAGUUUGCAUCUCUGACUUGGUGGAGAAGCAUGGAUUUUAUCCCUCCACUACUGAAAAGGUGGUUCUUGCAAAGAACAUCAUCACCAUCUUCCCAUCGCUAAAAGUCCAAAUUGAUGGCAGAGGAGAAGGCUUUGAGCAUUUCUUUGAUCCAGCAUCACAC